rnacentral:rRNA from 1 species
GACAGAGGGUGCAAACGUUGUUCGGAAUUACUGGGCGUAAAGCGCGUGUAGGCUGCUCGGAAAGUCGGAUGUGAAAGCCCUGGGCUCAACCUAGGAAGUGCAUUCGAAACUUCCGAGCUAGAGUUCUGGAGAGGAAGGCGGAAUUCUCGGUGUAGAGGUGAAAUUCGUAGAUAUCGAGAGGAACACCGGUGGCGAAGGCGGCCUUCUGGACAGUGACUGACGCUGAGACGCGAAAGCGUGGGGAGCGAACAGG